rnacentral:rRNA from 1 species
ACACGCUGGCGGCGUGCUUAAUACAUGCAAGUCAACUUGACUUUAGAUAGCAAUAUCGAAAAGUAGGGUGGCGCACGGGUGCGUAACGCGUAGGUAAUCUGCCCUGAGGUCUGACAUAACCCGUCGAAAGGCGGGCUAACAUCAGAUGAUAUAUAAUCACGACAUCGUGGAAAUAUCAAAUCUUCGGAGCCUUGGGAUGAGCCUGCGUCUGAUUAGGUAGUUGGCGGAGUAAUAGCCCACCAAGCCUACGAUCAGUAGCUGGUCUGAGAGGAUGAUCAGCCACACUGGAACUGAGACACGGUCCAGACUCCUACGGGAGGCAGCAGUAAGGAAUAUUGCUCAAUGGGGGAAACCCUGAAGCAGCAACGCCGCGUGAAGGAUGAAAUACUUUGUAUGUAAACUUCUGUAAGAUGGGAAAAAUAUUCUCCUCGGGAGAAUUGAUUGUACCAUCAGAGUAAGCCCCGGCUAACUACGUG